rnacentral:tRNA from 1 species
GCCAUUAUAGCUCAGUUGGUAGAGCAUUCCCAUGGUAAGGGAAAGGUCGUGGGUUCAAUUCCCAUUAAUGGCUCCA